GCAACCAAGAAACCUGAAGAAAUCAGAAGUCUUUUGUCGGCUUCUUAGCUUCAGAAAAGAGAAGAUGAGCUACAGAGACAGCAGAAGGAAACACUUUCUCUGUGACAGAAUAAGGAUGAUCUUCUUAUUGAGCUCUAGCCUCAAGAAGUUAGAUUUAGUGGCUCUAGACUGAGCUGUGCAAAAUGGAAUUGGAGAUAAAAAAUGGAGAGCUGAAGCUGAACAGCUACAAAAUGAACUGGGAAUAUCCAGUUAGUUACAUGGGCAGGCCAAAUAUUCAGAUUUGAGGUGUUUUUCCCUGAACUAUUCACACCCACUUUGAUUUUAAGCUGGAAGACCAGAAGACAAUGAUUCAGAAGCCCAGGGAGCCUUCAGUGGACAAUCAGAUUGUGCCUACAGCGGAAGAAUCUUGCUGGCAUAUUGCCUUUGCCACUCUAAAAUCUGAUUUCACAGAAUUUGAAAAGAAAGUAUGUCAAAACUUCAGUACAGUUGGAUGAUACCAAAAAGGAACUGGAGGAGGUGCAUGCUGCUCUUGUCGUGGUCAUGCAGGAACUCGAUUUGGCAGGAGCUGAGUGAGACAUGAUGAAAAGAUUGACAUUUCUUCUGAGGAAAAAAAUAAGAAAAAAGAAGGCUUGCUACACUGGAUAUCAAGAUUUUCAUAGGACUACUUUGAAAAUGUAGAAUCUGCAGCUCUUAUACUGUGGAAUACUGAGCAUCUUACAUGGAUCAGGAGAAUCAGUUUCACAGUAGCCUGCAUCAUAGUAGUUGUACAUUGUAUGCAAUCUAACUGUAGGAUACCCUCAUCUCAACAAAAAUAUGUUAUACUAUUUCUUGUAAAGCCAUAAUCCACCUGAAAUAAACAUAUCCUGAAAACUAA